rnacentral:rRNA from 1 species
AAAAGCUCGACCUCAAAUCAGGUAGGAAUACCCGCUGAACUUAAGCAUAUCAAUAAGCGGAGGAAAAGAAACCAACAGGGAUUGCCUCAGUAGCGGCGAGUGAAGCGGCAAGAGCUCAGAUUUGAAAUCGUGCUUUGCGGCACGAGUUGUAGAUUGCAGGUUGGAGUCUGUGUGGAAGGCGGUGUCCAAGUCCCUUGGAACAGGGCGCCCAGGAGGGUGAGAGCCCCGUGGGAUGCCGGCGGAAGCAGUGAGGCCCUUCUGACGAGUC